CGAACGCUGGCGGCGUGCUUAACACAUGCAAGUCGAACGGAAAGGCCUCUUCGGAGGUACUCGAGUGGCGAACGGGUGAGCAACACGUGGGCAAUCUGCCCUGCACUUCGGGAUAAGCCUGGGAAACUGGGUCUAAUACCGGAUAAGCCCUUACGGGGAAAGAUUUAUCGCCGAAAGAUCGGCCCGCGUCUGAUUAGCUAGUUGGUAGGGUAAUGGCCUACCAAGGCGACGAUCAGUAGCUGGUCUGAGAGGAUGAUCAGCCACAUUGGGACUGAGACACGGCCCAAACUCCUACGGGAGGCAGCAGAAGGGCGAAUU
rnacentral:rRNA from 1 species